UUUAUAUAUUCUUCCCAAGUCUCCCGCACCUGCUAGUAAAAUUCCUCUUUUGCGCUCCCGCUACUGCGGUGAAAGUUCCACUACCGUGCAAGUCACUUUCCCUCACUACCUCUGCUUCUGUGAUUCCCUAUCCUCAUCUACAGCUCCGCAGGUGCGGGAAAUUCUUCGCAUCUGCGACUCCUGCCCCUCCUAGCCUUGCUCGCUUCCGCGGCCUUCCGUCCCGCUUCUGCAGGAUCUCACCUGAAGAGAACAAUUUUCAUCUAUCUUUAAACUUUAAAACUUGGUUCGUUAAUCACCUGAAAUCAACCCGAGGCCCUGGGGACCUCAACCAAACAUACCAACAAGUCUUAUAACAUAAUACGAACUUAGUCGAAUCCUCAAACCACCUCAAACAAAAUCAAAAACACGAAUUACACAUGGAUUCAAGCCUAAUGAAUUUUGAAAUUUUCAAAUUCUACAAACGACGUCGAAACCUAUCAAAUCAUGUUUUGACCUCAAAUUUUGCACACAAGUCGUAAAUGACACCACGAACCUACUCCAACUUUCGAAAAUUCAAUCUGACCCCGAUAUAAAAAAUUCCAUACCUGGUCAAACUUUCCAAAAUUCCAACUUUCGCCAUUUCAAGCCUAAUUCUACUACGGACCUCCAAAUCACAAUCCGCACACGCUCCUAAGUCCAAAAUCACUUAACAGAGCUAACAGAACCAUCAAAUUUUCAAAUCCGAAGUUGUUUAUACAUAAGUCAACAUCCGGUCAACUUUUCCAACUUAAGCUUUCAAUGAAGAGACUAAGUGUCUCAAUUCAUUAUGAAAUCACUCCGGACUCAAACCAACCAACACAGUAAGUCAUAUAAAAGUUGUAGAACACAAAAGGAGUAGAAAAUGGAGGAACGAGGCUACAACUCUCGAAACGAUUGGCCGGGCCGCUACAUCCUCCCCCUCUUAAACAAGUAUUCCUCCUUGAACGAGUCUAGAAACAUACUUGGAGUCAUGUAUAUGGUCGGAUAUCUGCUCCGCAUCUCCUGCUCGGUCUCCCAAGUGGCCUCCUCCACGGGCUGACCUCUCUAUUACACCUUCAUUGAAGUUAUAUCCUUUGACCUCAACUUUAGAACCUGCCAAUCCAAAAUGGUCACUGGUUUCACAUUAUAAGUCAAAUCACCAUCCAACUGAACCGUGCUGAAAUCCAAAACAUGAGAUGGAUCGCCGAUAUACUUCUGGAGCAUAGAAACAUGGAAUACUGGAUGUACACUCGGCAAGCUAGGUGGUAAGGCAAGCUAGGUGGUAAGGCAAGCUUGUAAGCCACUUCCCCAAUCCUCUGAAGUACCUCAAAAGGCCCAAUGAAUAAAGGGCUCAACUUGCCCUUCUUCCUGAACCUCAUAACACCCUUCAAGGGUGAAACCUUCAGCAGAACCUUCUCCCCAACCAUGUAUGACACAUCACGUACCUUCCUGUCGGCAUAAUUCUUCUGUCUAGACUACACAGUGUGAAGCCGAUCCUGAAUUAAUUUAACCUUGUCUAAAGUAUCCUAAACCAAGUCAGUACCCAAUAGCCUCGCCUCCCCUGGCUCAAACCAACCCUCGAGAGAUCUACACUGCCUCCCAUAUAAAGCCUCAUACUGAGCCAUCUGAAUGCUCGACUGACAGAUGUUUUUGUAUGAAAACUCCGCGAGUGGCAGAAAUUGGUCCCUUGAACCCCCGAAAUCAAUGCCACAAACACCUAGAAUGUCCUCCAAUAUCUGAAUAGUACGUUUGAACUGUCUAUUUGUCUGAGGGUGAAAUGUUGUGCUCAACUCAACCUGAGUGCCCAACUCUCACUGCACGCCUCUCCAAAACUGUGAUGUAAACUGCGUGCCUCUAUCUGAAAUGAUAGAAACCGGCAUACCGUGAAGGCGAACAAUCUCUCGGAUGUAAAUAGCAGCCAACCGAUCUGAAGAAUAAGUAGUACUUACUAGAAUGAAGUGCACAGACUUGGUCAGCCGGUCCAAAUCACCCAAAUAGCAUCAAACUUCCUCGAAGUCAGUGGGAGCCCAACUACGAAAUCCAUGGUGAUCUGCUCCUACUUCCACUCCGGAAUCUCCAUCCUCUUAAGCAAGCCACCCGGUCUUUGAUGCUCAUAUUUUACCUGCUGACAGUUGAGACACCGAGCUACAAACCCAACCAUAUCCCUUUUCAUCCUUUUCCACCAAUAGUGUUGUCUCAAAUAUUGGUACAUCUUCGCGGCACCCGGAUGAAUGGAAUACCGCGAGCUGUGGACCUCCUCAAGAAUCAACUCCUGCAGCCCAUCUACAUUGGGCAUACAUAUCUAUCCUUGCAUCCUCAACACCCCAUCAUCUCCAAUAGUAAAAUCUCUGGCAUCAUCGUGAUGAACCUUGUCCUUGAGGACAACUAAAUAUGGAUCAUUAUACUGGCGCUCUCUGAUGCGAUAAAAUAAGGAAGACCUAGAUACCACACAGGCUAGAACCCGAAUGGGCUCCGAAACAUCUAACCUCAUGAAUUGGUUGGCCAAGGCCUAAACAUCAACUACAAGAGGUCUCUCACCAACACGAAUGAAUGCAAAACUACACAUACUCACUGCCUUCCUACUCAAAGCAUCGGCCACCACACUGGCCUUCCCCGGAUGAUUUAGAAUUGUAAUAUCAUAGUCCUUUAGCAGCUCCAAACACCUCUGCUACCUCAAAUUUAGAUCCUUCUUUUUGAACAAGUGCUAAAGGCUAUGAUGAUCAGUAAAUACCUCACAAGAUACACCAUAGAGAUAGUGCCUCCAAAUCUUUAACGCAUGGACAAUGGCGGCCUACUCCAAAUCAUGAACAAGGUAGUUCUUCUCAUGAGGUUUCAACUGGCGUGAAGCAUAAACAAUCACUCUACCCUCCUGCAUCAAAACAUACCUAAUACCGAGAAGCAUCACAAUACAGUGUAUAAGAACCUGAAGUUGAUGGUAGAACUAGAACUGGAGUUGUGGUCAAGGUAGUCUUGAGUUUCUUAAAGAUCUCCUCACACUCGUUUGACCACCUGAAAGGAGCACCCUUUUUGGUCAAUUUGGUCAAGGGCAAUGCGAUAGACAAGAAACCCUGCACGAACCGAUGGUAAUAACUAGCCAAACCAAGAAAGCUCUGAAUCUUCAUAGCUAAGGAUGGUUUGGGCGAACUCUGAACUGCCUCUAUCUUCUUUGGAUCCACCUGAAUAGCCUCACUAGACACCACGUGACCCAAGAACGCGACUGAACCGAGCCAAAACUCACACUUGGAGAACUUGGCAUAAAGCUUCUCUUCCCUCAACUGUUGUAACACAAUCCUCAAAUGCUCAAUAUGCUCCUCCUGGAUACGAGAGUACAACAGGAUAUCAUCAAUGAACAUAAUAACAAAUGAGUCGAGAUAAGGCUGACAUGCACUAUUCAUCAGAUGCAUGAACGCUGCUUGGGCGUUGGUCAUCCCAAAAUACAUCACAAGGAACUCUUAAUGACCAUAACGGAUCCUGAAAGUUGUCUUUAGAAUAUCAGAGUCCCGAAUCUUCAACUGGUGAUACCCAGACCUCAAAUAUAUCUUGGAGAACACCCUCACUCCCUAAGUUGGUCAAAUAGAUUAUCAAUACGCAGCAAAGGAUAGUUGUUCUUGAUUAUGACUUUGUUCAACUACCUAUAAUCAAUGCACAUUCUCAUAGUGUCAUCCUUCUUCUUUACUAACAGGACCGGUGCACCCCAAGGUGACACACUAGGCCUAAUAAAUCCCUUAUCAAGGAGUUCCUGAAGUUGCUCCUUCAACUCCCUCAACUCAGUCGGUGUCAUACGGCGCGGAGGAAUAAAAUAGGUUGGGUGCCCGGCACCAAGUCAAUACCAAAAUUAAUGUCCCUAUCGGGCGGCAUGCCCGACAGGUCUACAGGAAACACAUCCAAAAAUUCUCGCACCACCAGAACAGAAUCAAUAGUAAGGGUCUUUGUACUAACAUUCCCCACAAACGCAAAAUAAGAUAGACAACCCUUCCCAACUAUCCAUUGGGCCUUCAAAUAUGUAAUCACUCUACUGGGAAUAUAGUCUAGAGAACCUCGCCACUCAACCCGUGGCAUUCCCGGCAUCACCAACAUCACUAUCUUAGCGUGAUAAUCCAAAACAAUAUGACAUGGAGACAACCAGUCCAUACCCGUUCACGUCAAAAUCAACCAUACUAAGCAACAAUAGAUCAACUCUAGUCUCUAAUCCCCCAACAGUCACUGCACAUGACCGAUAUACACGAUCUACAAUAAUUGUAUCGCCCACUGGUAUAGAUAUAUAAAUAUAUGAAACUAGAGACUCACGGGGCAUAUCCAAAUAAUGAGAAAAAUACGAUAACAUAUAUAAAUAUGUGGAACCAGGAUCAAAUAAUAUAGAGGCAUUUAUGUGGAAAAUUGAGACUAUACUAGUGAUUACUGCAUCUGAAGCAACAACAUUUGGUCUGACAGGAAGAACAUAGAAUGGGGCCUGACUGCCACCUGAUCGGCCUCCCCCUCUAGGGCGACCUCUAGCUGACUAGGUCACAUCCCGAGCUAGUUGAUUGGCUGGUGUAGUAACUGGUGCAGAAGAUGCAGUCUGACUCCUCUAUUGCACUAGACCUCCUUGACGACGAGGACACUGCCUCCACGUAUGUCUAAAAUCCCUGCACUCAAAACAACUCCCUGGUGCUGGUGAUAGGGACUAAAGGGAACCCUGAGCACUAAGAUAACUGGUAGAAGGACAUGUCAUAGAUGAGCCCUAAACCGAUGGAUCAUGGGACGAACUUUGAUCUAGAAGGGCACUGAGAGAUGAGUGACCCUGAUGAGAACUGUGUGAACCAUGGCCAGAUGAUGUACCAUUGUGAACUGGACGAGCCGUCUGAGCAUGCCUAAAAGGAUGACCCCUAACGUGGUAUAACUAACCUCUAGAAGGAACCCCAAUCAAACCACCUGAUCUACAAGACCUCUUGGCCUCCUCAACCCGCUCCUGGCUACGUACCAUCUCUUCUAUCGAGCAAUGUCAACAACCUCAUCGAAAGUAGCACCAGAUACCCUCUCUCUAGUCAUAAUCACCCGCUGCUAAAAUGUGAGGCUAUCAAUGAAUCUUCUGAUCAUAUCUCUAUUAGUGAUAACUAACCAGAUUGCAUGACGGGCCAACUUAGAAAACCUCAUUCGUACUAUGUCAAAAAUAUAUCAUCCUAACGUAACUACUCAAACUGUCUGUGCAGCUCCUCUCUACGCGACUACGUCACGAACUUCUCCAAAAAGAGAACGGUGAACUCCUGCCAAGAAAAUGGUGUCACACCUCCUUUUUACCUACACCCCCGUAAGGGGGUAUAUAAGGGAGUUUUUUCCAACUUAAAGUGACAAUCGAAACAGGAUUAUUUUUAUUAAAAUUCAGAGUCGCCACUUGGGAUAAUUUUAUGGUGUCCCAAGUCACCUGUUCAAAUCCCGAAUCAAGGAAAAGAUUGACUCUAUAUUACAGUCCGCGAACACAAAAAUUCGGGUAAGGAAUUUUGUUAACCCGGGAGAAGGUGUUAGGCAUUCCCGAGUUCUGUGGUUCUAGCACGGUCGCUCAACUGUUAUAAUUGGCUUAUUUACUUGAUUUUAGUGCAUGUUUUAGCCUAUGGUGCCAUUUUAACUUUAAACCGCUUUUGUUCCUUUUUGUAGAAAAUUGCAACGUUAUUAAAACAUGUCUCAAACCACGUCAUAUAAAUGCGCCCGUGGUCUUUGACACAUUUUAACAUCGUUGAGAUUUGGAUUUGGGUUAUAUAAAUGCGCACCCGAAUUUAGGAAGGUAAUAUUAUUAAAAUACGCGCCUAAAGUAGCUACGCAUUUGCAACUCUGCGAGGGACAUGGAAAUUCGACUAAAUGCGCACCUCGAUCUCUAAGGAAUCAUAAUUAUGUCACGCGAACGUGUCCACAAUCUAUUUUACCCGAUCUAUUUUAAAAAAAUUCACCACCCGACCCAUUUCUAUUUUGCUUAUUUUUAUUACUACAUAUCACCAGGCAUCUAGCUUUCUAGUCGAAAGAUAAAGUAGAUUAUUAAUUUUCUUCAAAGGAAUCUUGUAACAAACUUAUUAACAAUCAACCCAUAUCGCCUUUAAUAGCAGAGAUGUAUAGUUUCCGAAUCUUUUCUUUGCUACAACAAAUUGACAAAUAUUCCCAGCAAGGAAUAAUUCAAAGAGUUCUCUUUUAAACUAUGCAUCGCUAAAACAAUUAUUUUAUACAGAUAGAAACUUCAUUACUUUGAAAAUCAAGGAAAAAUGAGAAGGGAAAAGAAACAAAAAAACGUAGGAGAAAGAAGAAGUUACUCUCUUAGAAGGUAAUAAUCAGUUCCAUAAUUACCACAAGAACGCAAAAUGAAAGGAACCAACCUGAACUUCCGAUGAAAUGCAGCUUCAUUCGCAAUACUGUUUUGAUGCUAGACUAACAGACACGGACUCGAACAGAAAACGUAGCAGCACCGGAACCUCGCCGAAAUCUCGAACGGAACCGAACAGACCCAACUCGACUGGAUUUGGGUGGGGAUUUCGAACUGAUUUGCACACUGAUCUGGUGUAGUUUCAGGCAGCCAUGGUCAGCUUUGCUUGAAUUUCUGCUGUUGGGUGUUGCCGGAUUUUCCCACAAGUUUGGUAGCGACUGGCGAGGCUGGUGAGGGGUGUGAGUGAAGAGGGUUGAGUUGAGAGGUCAUCGGCUUCUGCUUCGUGGAGUGAAGAAUAAGUUCAGGGGGUCGUUUUGAGAAGAUGAAGUCGGGGACCAGGGUCGUUCGUGUAAGCUACGCAACUUUUGUUUUGCUUUUUCCCAGCGUUCUUCUUUUUUUUUAUAUAGAUUUUUUAAGCCUUACUUUAUAGGUAGAGUCUAGGUUUAGGUGUAUUUUUGUGUAUUUAGC
rnacentral:lncRNA from 1 species